rnacentral:rRNA from 1 species
GACGAACGCUGGCGGCGCGCCUAACACAUGCAAGUCGAACGAGCGAGAGGGAGCUUGCUUUCUCGAGCGAGUGGCGAACGGGUGAGUAACGCGUGAGGAACCUGCCUCAAAGAGGGGGACAACAGUUGGAAACGACUGCUAAUACCGCAUAAGCCCACGGUGCCGCAUGGCACAGAGGGAAAAGGAGCAAUCCGCUUUGAGAUGGCCUCGCGUCCGAUUAGCUAGUUGGUGAGGUAAUGGCCCACCAAGGCGACGAUCGGUAGCCGGACUGAGAGGUUGAACGGCCACAUUGGGACUGAGACACGGCCCAGACUCCUACGGGAGGCAGCAGUGGGGAAUAUUGCACAAUGGGGGAAACCCUGAUGCAGCGACGCCGCGUGGAGGAAGAAGGUCUUCGGAUUGUAAACUCCUGUUGUUGGGGAAGAUAAUGACGGUACCCAACAAGGAAGAGACGGCUAACUACGUG